GAAGAACCUUACCUGGUCUUGACAUCCACAGAACUUUCCAGAGAUGGAUUGGUGCCUUCGGGAACUGUGAGACAGGUGCUGCAUGGCUGUCGUCAGCUCGUGUUGUGAAAUGUUGGGUUAAGUCCCGCAACGAGCGCAACCCUUAUCCUUUGUUGCCAGCGGUCCGGCCGGGAACUCAAAGGAGACUGCCAGUGAUAAACUGGAGGAAGGUGGGGAUGACGUCAAGUCAUCAUGGCCCUUACGACCAGGGCUACACACGUGCUACAAUGGCGCAUACAAAGAGAAGCGACCUCGCGAGAGCAAGCGGACCUCAUAAAGUGCGUCGUAGUCCGGAUUGGAGUCUGCAACUCGACUCCAUGAAGUCGGAAUCGCUAGUAAUCGUGGAUCAGAAUGCCACGGUGAAUACGUUCCCGGGCCUUGUACACACCGCCCGUCACACCAUGGGAGUGGGUUGCAAAAGAAGUAGGUAGCUUAACCUUCGGGAGGGCGCUUACCACUUUGUGAUUCAUGACUGGGGUGAAGUCGUAACAAGGUAACCGUAGGGGAACCUGCGGUUGGAUCACCUCCUUACCUUAAAGAAGC
rnacentral:rRNA from 1 species